UUACAAAUUUUUGAAAAGCUAUAUAUAUUCUCUGAAAUUGUCAUGUCAUACACUUUUGUGAGCACACAAGUACAUAACAGGCACCAAGACUAUCCACCAGCACUGUAACAGACUCAAUUUCCUGAGGCAUUGCAGUCCUGUUCUCAAGUCUGAUGGUCAAUGCGUUCCACCAAGAGGUCGGUGCUGCAAGUCAUUCAGCAUUGUACGCUCCAGUCCAAGAAUCACAAGGACUGGAAGGGACCUCAAAAGAUCAUCUAGUCCAAUCCCCCUGCCAGACCAGGACUACCUAGAGUAGGUCACACAGAAACUUGUCUAGAAAUGCUCUCUCCUUAUCCCAAAAGAAAUCCAAAGAAAAUUCAGCCUGAGGCAUUUAUCCAUCUGGAAAACUUCAUGUCAAACAGUACACAUUCAUCAAGAUCUUACACACCACUUCACAAAGA